UUCAGGCUGGACAAAAGUGGUAAGUGGUGUCCCUCAGGGUUCUGUUUUGGGACCACUUCUAUUUAACAUAUUUAUAAAUGAUCCUGAAAUAGGCAUUGAAGGCCAUGUAUCAGUGUUUGCAGAUGACACAAAACUUUGUAAAGUAAUAAAAUAUGAGCAGGAUAUUGCUUUGCUGCAGAGAGAUUUGGAUAGAUUGGGGGACUGGGCAC